AAAUGUAAGUCGAGCGAACAGAAGGGAGCUUGCUCCCGGAUGUUAGCGGCGGACGGGUGAGUAACACGUGGGUAACCUGCCUGUAAGACUGGGAUAACUCCGGGAAACCGGAGCUAAUACCGGAUAGUUCCUUGAACCGCAUGGUUCAAGGAUGAAAGACGGUUUCGGCUGUCACUUACAGAUGGACCCGCGGCGCAUUAGCUAGUUGGUGGGGUAAUGGCUCACCAAGGCGACGAUGCGUAGCCGACCUGAGAGGGUGAUCGGCCACACUGGGACUGAGACACGGCCCAGACUCCUACGGGAGGCAGCAGUAGGGAAUCUUCCGCAAUGGACGAAAGUCUGACGGAGCAACGCCGCGUGAGUGAUGAAGGUUUUCGGAUCGUAAAGCUCUGUUGUUAGGGAAGAACAAGUGCGAGAGUAACUGCUCGCACCUUGACGGUACCUAACCAGAAAGCCACGGCUAACUACGUGCCAGCAGCCGCGGUAAUACGUAGGUGGCAAGCGUUGUCCGGAAUUAUUGGGCGUAAAGGGCUCGCAGGCGGUUUCUUAAGUCUGAUGUGAAAGCCCCCGGCUCAACCGGGGAGGGUCAUUGGAAACUGGGAAACUUGAGUGCAGAAGAGGAGAGUGGAAUUCCACGUGUAGCGGUGAAAUGCGUAGAGAUGUGGAGGAACACCAGUGGCGAAGGCGACUCUCUGGUCUGUAACUGACGCUGAGGAGCGAAAGCGUGGGGAGCGAACAGGAUUAGAUACCCUGGUAGUCCACGCCGUAAACGAUGAGUGCUAAGUGGUUAGGGGGUUUCCGCCCCUUAGUGCUGCAGCUAACGCAUUAAGCACUCCGCCUGGGGAGUACGGUCGCAAGACUGAAACUCAAAGGAAUUGACGGGGGCCCGCACAAGCGGUGGAGCAUGUGGUUUA
rnacentral:rRNA from 1 species